UGGAAAGUGAUCAAAAGAAAGAACAAAACACACCAUCUUUCGGGAUUGAUUGUUGUGCUCGUAUGUGCCAUGAUGUCUAAUCUGCAAUUCAGACGCCA
rnacentral:snoRNA from 1 species